GACGAACGCUGGCGGCGUGCUUAACACAUGCAAGUCGAACGGAAAGGCCCUGCUUUUGUGGGGUGCUCGAGUGGCGAACGGGUGAGUAACACGUGAGUAACCUGCCCUUGACUUUGGGAUAACUUCAGGAAACUGGGGCUAAUACCGGAUAGGAGCUCCUGCUGCAUGGUGGGGGUUGGAAAGUUUCGGCGGUUGGGGAUGGACUCGCGGCUUAUCAGCUUGUUGGUGGGGUAGUGGCUUACCAAGGCUUUGACGGGUAGCCGGCCUGAGAGGGUGACCGGCCACAUUGGGACUGAGAUACGGCCCAGACUACAACGGGAGGCAGCAGUGGGGAAUAUUGCACAAUGGGCGGAAGCCUGAUGCAGCAACGCCGCGUGCGGGAUGACGGCCUUCGGGUUGUAAACCGCUUUCGCCUGUGACGAAGCGUGAGUGACGGUAAUGGGUAAAGAAGCACCGGCUAACUACGUG
rnacentral:rRNA from 1 species